AGAGUUUGAUUCUGGCUCAGAAUGAACGCUGGCGGCGUGCCUAACACAUGCAAGUCGGACGCGAAAGCUCCUUCGGGAGUGUAGAGUGGCGCACGGGUGAGUAACGCGUAGGUAAUCUACCUCUGGAUUGGGGAUAACUCUGCGAAAGCGGAGCUAAUACCGAAUGGUCUGGCUUUAUUUUGAUGAAGUCGGUAAAGGAUGCCUUGCAUAUGCAUCUGUCCGGAGAUGAGCCUGCGUCCCAUUAGCUAGUUGGUAGGGUAAAGGCCUACCAAGGCGACGAUGGGUAGCUGGUCUGAGAGGAUGAUCAGCCACACUGGAACUGGAACACGGUCCAGACUCCUACGGGAGGCAGCAGUGGGGAAUAUUGGGCAAUGGGCGCAAGCCUGACCCAGCAACGCCGUGUGAGGGAUGAAGGCCUUCGGGUCGUAAACCUCUGUCAGAAGGGAAGAACGGGCACAGUUCGAAUAGGGCUGUGUUUUGACGGUACCUUCAGAGGAAGCACCGGCUAACUCCGUGCCAGCAGCCGCGGUAAUACGGAGGGUGCGAGCGUUAUUCGGAAUCACUGGGCGUAAAGGGCGCGUAGGCGGCCUGGUAAGUCAGGGGUGAAAUCCCACGGCUCAACCGUGGAAUUGCCUUUGAAACUGCUGGGCUUGGAUCCUGGAGAGGGUGGCGGAAUUCCUGGUGUAGGAGUGAAAUCCGUAGAUAUCAGGAGGAACACCGGUGGCGAAGGCGGCCGCCUGGACAGGUAUCGACGCUGAGGCGCGAAAGUGUGGGGAGCAAACAGGAUUAGAUACCCUGGUAGUCCACACCGUAAACGAUGGAUACUAGGUGUUGGGGGCAUGACCCUCAGUGCCGGAGCUAACGCGUUAAGUAUCCCGCCUGGGGAGUACGGUCGCAAGGCUGAAACUCAAAGAAAUUGACGGGGGCCCGCACAAGCGGUGGAGUAUGUGGUUUAAUUCGAUGCAACGCGAAGAACCUUACCUGGGCUUGACAUCCUGGGAAUCCUGCAGAGAUGCGGGAGUGCCUUCGGGAACCCAGAGACAGGUGCUGCAUGGCUGUCGUCAGCUCGUGCCGUGAGGUGUUGGGUUAAGUCCCGCAACGAGCGCAACCCUUUUCCUUAUUUGCCAGCACUUUGGGUGGGAACUUUAAGGAUACUGCCAGUGACAAACUGGAGGAAGGCGGGGACGACGUCAAGUCAUCAUGGCCCUUACGACCAGGGCUACACACGUGCUACAAUGGUCGGUACAAAGGGUUGCUACCUAGCGAUAGGAUGCUAAUCUCAAAAAGCCGAUCGUAGUCCGGAUUGGAGUCUGCAACUCGACUCCAUGAAGUCGGAAUCGCUAGUAAUCGCGGAUCAGAAUGCCGCGGUGAAUACGUUCCCGGGCCUGUACACACCCCCGUC
rnacentral:rRNA from 1 species